GGAAGGCUGUAGCUCAGUGAUAGAAUCCAUGCUUUGCAUGCAGAAUGUCCUGGGUUCAAUCCCUAGUGUCUCCA